GAACGAAGGAGAUCCAUUCAGUAUCUACUGUUAUCAAAAUGCUACUAGCAAAGACACAAUGUUCUGGUAUAAAAAGCCCCUGGAUAAAGGAUUGCAGAUUCUUGAGAGCGGAUUUGAUGGCACUAAAGCGGCUGGUGCACUACUGUUCACAUUUAACUCUAAUGACAGGUCCACAGAGUUGAAGAAGACCCAGGCAGAGCCUAAAGAUGCUGCCACAUAUUACUGUGCAGUUAGAGA